GGGCGAUUUAGGUCCAUAUUUACUAAGGUUGUUUUAGUAGUUUAUUAUAAAAGUUGUGAUGCAACAACAAUAUCAGAUGUUCUUUGUGUAGGGACGUAGCGCAGCGCAGCGCAAACGAGGCAGGCAGCCAACCGUUGGAGCGUGAGCCAAACCGUAAUAUUAGUAAAACAACACCCCGACAAGAAAGGAGCCAACCAGGUAGCUCGCCUAACGAGCCCACGCUAUGAUUCUGUUCCCGGGGGCGACCGAAGCCCGAGCCAAUUAGGAUCCGCAAUGUUCUGCAGGGGGGAGAUGGAUCCAUCGGGCGAUCGAU
ensembl:lncRNA